rnacentral:tRNA from 1 species
AUAUAUGAAGUAAAAUUUUACAUUUAAUUUCGACUUAAAAAUUUGAUUUCAAUUAAUCCAUAUAUA